CGAUUCUCCUGCUUCAGCCUCUCAAGUUGCUAGGACUACAGCCUCCAGCCUUCCUUGCACUUCUCAUGGGUGCCACCUUUUGCCCAGCCAGUGGAGCUUCAAGCCCUCAAGUCCUCUUUGAAUAAUCCUUCUUCAAGCUUCGUGACUAGUUAAUCACCAAGGUCUAUUGAUUUGGUCUAUUGAUUUCCUUCCAAAAUUUCUCACACACUCCUCUAUCCUCAUUUCUAAUACCUCUGCACUGGGCCAGGAGUCAAAAUACUAUAGUGACUUAAGUCACUUAGCCUCUCUGGUAUCAACAUUAUUCAUAAAAUGGUGAUUUGCCAUGCUUCCCUAGAAGUUUGUGGGUUUUUUUCUUUUUCUUUUCUUUUUCUUGGAGGCUAGGGGGAUGGAAUCUCGCUCUGUCACCCAGGAUGGAGUGCAGUGGCGUGACCUCGGCUCACUGCAACCUCCGCCUCCCAGUUCAAGUGAUUCUUCUGCCUCAUCCUCCUGAGUAGCUGGGACUACAGGUGUGUGCCACCACACCCAGCUAAUUUUUAUAGUUUUAGUAGAGACAGGGUUUCACCAUAUUGGCUAGGCUGGUCUCGAACUCCUGACCUCAUGAUCUGCCCGCCUCAGCCUCCCAAAGUGCUGGAAUUACAGGUGUGAACCACCACACCCGGCCUUGUUGUUGUUUUUAACCCAACAAAUGCCUUUUGAGGAUUGUGUGCCAGGUACUUUUCUAUUGCUGGGUAUACAGCAGAGAACCAAAGUCCCUGCUCUCCUGAAGUUAAUACUCUAGUGAGCUGAGACAGGUAAUUUUCAACGUGCACAGGACUGGUGGUAAUAAAUGAAACAGGCAGGGGAUAAAGAGGAGCAGGGACGUGGUAGCACUAUGUCCAACAAACUAGGAAGCUUUACUGUCCAUCUAUGUGUGUGUGUGGUUUUUUUUUUUUUCCUGAGACAGAGUCUUGCUCUGUUGCCCAGGCUAGAGUGCAGUGGUGUGAUCUCAGCUUACUGCAAUCUCCACCUCCUGGGUUCAAGCAUUUCUCCUGCCUCAGCCUCCCAAGUAGCUGGGAUUACAGGUGUGUCAUCACAGCCGGCUAAUUUUUGUAUUUUUAGUAGAGAUGGGGUUUCCCCAUGAUGGCCAGGCUGGUCUCGAUCUCCUGACCUCAAGUGAUCUGCCUGCCUCGGCCCUAAGUGUUGGGAUUAUAGAUGUGAGCUGCUGCACCCGGCCUCCGUCUAUGUAUUUGAAUGCAAAGUCAGUGCUUUUCUGCUGUGCAGUACUAAAGGAUAGGAUAGCAUUGUUUCAACCAUAAAGAACCACAUGAUUAAAGGCACUAUUACUACUAUUAUUAAGAGACUUACAUCCUCAACACCUCUUGCACAGAUUGCUCCAAGGCUUUCCUGACUGAGUUUCCCUGACUUUGGGCUCUCCCCUCCCUAUGAAGCUUUUGUACAUGGAUUGUUUCAGCAUGGCACUUUGAGCCCAUUGCCUUUGCCCUGCGUCUUGUGUUUCCCAUGGAAGCCACCUAAACUCAGUGUGCUCAGCUUUGCUUCUCCUCCCAGUACAAAGCCCUCCCAGCAAGCAGGACUAGUGGCUCCCUGAUCCGCAUGUCCACCGGCUCCACUCCAGCAUGCACUUUCCACCUUCCUGUUAAUGCAGAGUGCGGAUCCUGUCCUUACCUACCUGGAAAAACAAUCCUCCUUGGGAGGUACCAUGGAUUAACUAGAGCCCAACUCUCCCUUUCUAGAUGAUGGAAAGGCAUACAGAGUAAAGAACCUGCUCUGAAUUCCAUUACACAAUGAGAUGAUCUUCAGCUUCUCCAACCAGCCCAGAAGCCCGUGUCCUCUGGCAUCUGGUACUCAGAUGUCGCAAAUCCCGCCAUUGGACUAAGAUGGUGGUUUCACAUAGUGCCAAGCACCUAGCAGGCAUCACUAAAUACUUGCUGAUGUGUGAAUUCUGUUUUACUUCAGUGAUUCAGCUCUGCCAGGCCAUUGUUUUACUUACCUGCCUCCUGAAACUCUGCAAGACUUGGUAGAAAAUGAAUCAUCAAUUUGACUUGUUGUUUCUUCAAAACUUUGACUGUGACCUUGAAACUGUGGUUCUGAAAACAAGUGAAUCUUUGAAAAAGUAAACAGAAACACAAAAAAUUAUUUUCAUAAACACAUUAACUAAUUUAGCCUUUGAAAUGAUGACCCAAACAUGACCUGUUAACUUUUGUUACAGUAAACUGGUGUGAAUUUUAUAAAUCCUUUAAUUUUCCAUGUCUACAUUCAUGAUCAAUUAGAAACAUGUUAGCUGCACCAUUCAUGACUGUUUAUUUAAUUCAGAGACAUCAAAGUAAAAUGCAACAACAGAGGUAACUUUCUAUAGAACACCCUGUUGUGAAGCUGUGGGGCAUUUUAAAGCUUUAUUGUGGCCAGAAGUCAUUGUUCAUCAGUUCUAACAGUAACAACAAACAGUAUUUUGGAAAACACAGUGUAGUUUCCUUCCUUCUCAAUGGAAGAUACUUGCUGACUUAUCAGAAUCCUGUAAAUGCCAAUAAAGGAGGCUAUAGUGGUGUUUGUUCCUCUAUAAUUAUGGCUCUGUGAACACUUCCAUUAAAAGGCCUAAAUAACAAAUGUA